GGUGCUGCAUGGCUGUCGUCAGCUCGUGUCGUGAGAUGUUGGGUUAAGUCCCGCAACGAGCGCAACCCCCGUCCUUAGUUGCUACCAUUUAGUUGAGCACUCUAAGGAGACUGCCGGUGAUAAGCCGCGAGGAAGGUGGGGAUGACGUCAAGUCCUCAUGGCCCUUACGGGCUGGGCUACACACGUGCUACAAUGGCGGUGACAAUGGGAAGCAAAGGGGCAACCCCUAGCAAAUCUCAAAAAAC
rnacentral:rRNA from 1 species